GACGGAGGAUGCAAGUGUUAUCCGGAAUCACUAGGCGUAAAGCGUCUGUAGGUGGUUUAAAAAGUCCACUGUUAAAGAUUGAAGCUCAACUUCAAAAAUGCCGUGGAAACUUUUAAACUUGAGUAUGAUAGGGGUAGAGGGAAUUUCCAGUGGAGCGGUGAAAUGCGUAGAUAUUGGAAAGACCACCAAUGGCGAAGGCACUCUACUGGGCCAUUACUGACACUGAGAGACGAAAGCUAGGGGAGCAAAUGGG
rnacentral:rRNA from 1 species